UCGCAUCCACUGAUAGACCUAAAGCAGACUUCCUUGGCUUUUGGGUUUGCAUAGUGAUGCUAAAUCAAACAAUCCUCGCGCUUUCUGGCUGCUAAACUACAUGGUUGCACAGAUUGAAUUGAGGAGUACAGAU
rnacentral:snoRNA from 1 species